rnacentral:rRNA from 1 species
UACGUAGGGGGCAAGCGUUGUCCGGAAUCAUUGGGCGUAAAGAGCGUGUAGGCGGCUUGGUAAGUCCGCUGUGAAAGUCCAGGGCUCAACCCUGGAAAGCCAGUGGAAACUGCCAAGCUAGAGUCCGGAAGAGGCGAGUGGAACUCCUGGUGUAGCGGUGAAAUGCGCAGAUAUCAGGAAGAACACCAAUGGCGAAGGCAGCUCGCUGGGACGCGACUGACGCUGAGACGCGAAAGCGUGGGGAGCAAACAGG